UGGAUGAUACAGGCUCCUGCUGGG
rnacentral:misc_RNA from 1 species